rnacentral:rRNA from 1 species
AUUGAACGCUGGCGGCAUGCCUAACACAUGCAAGUCGAACGGCAGCACAGCAGUAGCAAUACUGUGGGUGGCGAGUGGCGGACGGGUGAGGAAUACGUCGGAAUCUGCCCAGUCGUGGGGGAUAACUAGCCGAAAGGUUAGCUAAUACCGCAUACGACCGAGAGGUGAAAGCGGGGGACCGCAAGGCCUCGCGCGAUUGGAUGAGCCGACGUCGGAUUAGCUAGUUGGCGGGGUAAAGGCCCACCAAGGCGACGAUCCGUAGCUGGUCUGAGAGGAUGAUCAGCCACACUGGAACUGAGACACGGUCCAGACUCCUACGGGAGGCAGCAGUGGGGAAUAUUGCACAAUGGGCGCAAGCCUGAUGCAGCGACGCCGCGUGAGGGAUGACGGCCUUCGGGUUGUAACCGUCUUCUAUAGGACGAAGCGCAAGUGACGGUACCUAUAGAAGAAGACACCGGCCAACUACGUGCCAGCAGCCGCGGUAA